rnacentral:rRNA from 1 species
GAGUUUGAUCCUGGCUCAGGAUGAACGCUGGCGGCGUGCCUAAUACAUGCAGGGGCGAGCGAACAGAUAAGGAGCUUGCUCCUUUGACGUUAGCGGCGGACGGGUGAGUAUCACGUGGGUAACUUACCUAUAAGACUGGGAUAACUCCGGGAAACCGGGGCUAAUGCCGGAUAAUAUUUAGAACCGCAUGGUUCUAAAGUGAAGGAUGGCCUUGCUAUCACUUAUGGAUGGAUCCGCGCCGUAUUAGCUAGUUGGUAAGGUAACGGCUUACCAAGGCAACGAUACGUAGCCGACCUGAGAGGGUGAUCGGCCACACUGGAACUGAGACACGGUCCAGACUCCUACGGGAGGCAGCAGUAGGGAAUCUUCCGCAAUGGGCGAAAGCCUGACGGAGCAACGCCGCGUGAGUGAUGAAGGUCUUCGGAUCGUAAAGCUCUGUUAUUAGGGAAGAACAAAUGCGUAAGUAACUGUGCGCGUCUUGACGGUACCUAAUCAGAAAGCCACGGCUAACUACGUGCCAGCAGCCGCGGUAAUACGUAGGUGGCAAGCGUUAUCCGGAAUUAUUGGGCGUAAAGCGCGCGUAGGCGGUUUUUUAAGUCUGAUGUGAAAGCCCACGGCUCAACCCGUGGAUGGUCAUUGGAAACUGGAAAACUUUGAGUGCAGA